rnacentral:lncRNA from 1 species
GGGUGGUACAUUUUUCUGCUUGCAUUAGCAAGUUAAGUGAAAAUGCUACGUAUAAACUAUUAAUCUCAUCACAUGUCUUUGCAGAACAUGUCUUUGACAAAUUUUUAUUUUAUAUUGUUUCCGGAUUUUAUAUAGCCAACAUUGGAUUUUGUACACUUUACAAAACAAUGUGUAAAUAAGCUGGUGAGUUUUUACAUGUGAAAUGGGAACAUUAAAACUUAUAAUUAUCAGAAAGGAAAUAAAAAAAUAUGACAGAAUUUUAUAUGCACUGGAAACCAAAAACAGUUUGAAACUGAAUCAUGUAAAAAUCACAAACAUAGGCAGAUGAUGCUAAAAAUUGCCAUUUUUCUUCAUGCUACAUUAUUGUAUUGGAUCACAUUAAAAGUUACAAUUCUAUCCACAAUCACUAGAUGGUCUUUUAUUGUCCGUUUCUCUGACACAUUCACACUUAUCAAUAUAUCUGUCCGUAUAAUUUACUUAAUACCAAAAAUAAAACGUGAUUAUCAAAAAUGUUAAAGAUUAUUGCAUAUUCAUUAUGAAUGUUGUAACUCCCCACUACAUUAUUAUAUUUUAUACUUAUAUAUAUAUAUUUUUGUGUUUUUUUUUCCUUAAUUUCCUUGAGGACUUUUGAAUAGAGGUUGGUAAAAAAAAAAAAAAAAAAAAAAAAAAACUUAGUGAACAAUC